rnacentral:lncRNA from 1 species
AGUUCCAGACACCGUAGGGGCUUGCCAUUGAAUCCCCUUCUAAACAAUUCUUCGUUCUGCAAGAAGAAACGUUGUGACUUCCUCUUGAUUAUAAUUGCGUCCUUCUUUUCGGUCGGAAGAGUCCCGCUUUGUAAGAACUCCACAUAAGGGAUUCGCCAAUCCACUAUGUCUUCAAUGAAGGCGCAUUCAUCCUCCCCAGGGUAUUCUUGGCAUGAAACACAUUGGCGUUGUAGGGCAUCUGCUUCCUUCUUCAUUUCAGGCCAAUAAUACCCUUGACGCUGCAGCCUACGAUACAAGCCUAUGUCUGCCAAUCCGCAGUUCUCGUCAUGCACCUGUUGCAAUACUCUAUCUGCUUCCU